GACGAACGCUGGCGGCGUGCUUAACACAUGCAAGUCGAACGGUGAACGAGGGAGCUUGCUCCCUCCGGAUCAGCGGCGAACGGGUGAGUAACACGUGAGCAAUCUGCCCCGAACUCUGGGAUAAGCGUUGGAAACGACGUCUAAUACCGGAUACGACGCGGGAGGGCAUCCUCUCCGCGUGGAAAGAACUUCGGUUCGGGAUGAGCUCGCGGCCUAUCAGCUUGUUGGUGAGGUAACGGCUCACCAAGGCGACGACGGGUAGCCGGCCUGAGAGGGUGACCGGCCACACUGGGACUGAGACACGGCCCAGACUCCUACGGGAGGCAGCAGUGGGGAAUAUUGCACAAUGGGCGCAAGCCUGAUGCAGCAACGCCGCGUGAGGGACGACGGCCUUCGGGUUGUAAACCUCUUUUAGCAGGGAAGAAGCGAAAGUGACGGUACCUGCAGAAAAAGCACCGGCUAACUACGUG
rnacentral:rRNA from 1 species